GUUGUAUUUGUGCGUAUAUAAGCUAUUAUAUUGUAUAUGUUCAUUAGUAGUUUAUGAUAUUGUGUAUGAUACAUAUGAAUGUGGGCUGUGUAUGAGGGCUGCUUGUGGAAUUGUGUGUGGGUGGAUAUGUCACAUUGUGUGUUUGGUAGUGUGUGGGGGCUGUUUGGGGUAUUGCAUGUGAGAGGCUGCAUGUGGGGUUGUGUGCAUAUAUGUGGAUUGUUAGUAGGUUACGUUUGUGCAGAUUGUGUGUAUGUUUGUGUGUGGGCUGUUCGUAUUAUUUGUAUAAGCAGAGGGUUAUUCUU